rnacentral:rRNA from 1 species
GACAGAGGGUGCAAACGUUGUUCGGAAUUACUGGGCGUAAAGGGCGCGUAGGCGGUUCGCUAAGUUGGAUGUGAAAACUCUGGGCUCAACCCAGAGCCUGCAUCCAAAACUGGCGGGCUAGAGUUCUGGAGGGGGUAGCGGAAUUCCUGGUGUAGCGGUGAAAUGCGUAGAUAUCUGGAGGAACACCGGUGGCGAAGGCGGCAUUCUGGACCGGCAUUGACGCUGAGGCGCGAAAGCCAGGGGAGCAAACGGG